AGAUGUGUAAAUUGAGAUUUUUGAAAUUCUAUAACUCUAAAGAUGAUGGAGAGAACAAAUGUAAGGUGUCUUAUUUGGUAGGACCUGGAUUUGCUGAAGUGAGGUAUCUUCACUGGUAUGGAUAUCCACUAAAAUCAUUGCCGUCAAAUAUUCAUCCAGAGAAACUUGUUUCAAUUGAAAUGCCUCAUGGUAAUAUUCAACAACUUUGGGAUGAUGUCGAGGUAUAUAAAAUCUUAAUAUUUAUGCAAUGUUUCAGUAAUAAUGUUUAAUUAUUUAUCGUACUUAAAUGCUAACAAUUUGUAUGUCUGGGCUUCUAAUUUUUUUGGAGCAGCAUAAUGGUAAGUUAAAGCAGAUAAUAAGCCGGGCCUGCAAUUUUUUCACCAAAUCUCCAAACCACUCGUUGACCCUGCAUCUGGACAAGCUAGUUAACCUCAAUCUAAACAAUUGCAAAAGCUUGAGAAUUCUUCCAGCUGGAAUAUUUCGUUUGGAAUUUCUUAAAGAACUUGAUCUUUGGGGCUGCUCAAAACUAAAAACGCUUCCAGAGAUAUCAUCAGCUGGUAAUAUAGAAGUGAUGUAUUUAAAUGGAACUGCAAUUGAAGAACUGCCUUCAUCCAUAGAAUGUCUAUCUCGGCUUUCGGCCUUAUACCUUGAUAAUUGUAAAAGGCUGAAGAGUCUCCCAAGCAGCCUAUGUAAAUUGAACUCUCUGAACUUUAUUUAUCUCAGGUGGUGCUCAAGUCUUAGGAGUUUGCCUGAUGAACUUGGAAAUUUAGAAGCUUUGGACAGUUUGAUUGCUGAAGGAACUGCUAUAAGAGAAGUGCCGUUGUCCAUUGUUGAGAUCAAUAGAAGAACUGGCAAUAAUAAAAAGGAAAAAAAAAUAUUGCAAUGUCAAUUUACAACUAAAAGUCUGGCAAACAGACAGAGAUACGUUACAAUGUCAAUUUACAUCUAAAAGUAUGGCAAAUUAACAAACAUAGAUACUUUAUAUGUUUAGUAUUGUUUGUAUUACUAUGUUUCUUUCGUACAUAGGCAUGUCCAUACUUCAUGGAUACUUUAUAUGCUUAGUAUUGUUUGUAUUACAAUGUUUCUUUUGUACGUUGGCUUUCAAUUAACUUGAACAUUAAUUUAAAUUUGAAUUUAACUUCCUGGUCUUUCAUUGAUUGUUAGGGGACCAAAAAAGUUGAGGGUAUCUGCUUUGAUAUGUCUAGAAUAAAAGAGAUCUAUCUGCAUCCAGAUACUUUCACAAAGAUGUGUAAAUUGAGAUUUUUGAAAUUCUAUAACUCUAAAGAUGAUGGAGAGAACAAAUGUAAGGUGUCUUAUUUGGUAGGACCUGGAUUUGCUGAAGUGAGGUAUCUUCACUGGUAUGGAUAUCCACUAAAAUCAUUGCCGUCAAAUAUUCAUCCAGAGAAACUUGUUUCAAUUGAAAUGCCUCAUGGUAAUAUUCAACAACUUUGGGAUGAUGUCGAGGUAUAUAAAAUCUUAAUAUUUAUGCAAUGUUUCAGUAAUAAUGUUUAAUUAUUUAUCGUACUUAAAU
rnacentral:lncRNA from 1 species